AGAGCUGUAGCGCGGUGUGUAGUUGAUGAAGACAAAGCCGCGCGCCUGGUCGAUGGCGUGAAACAGCGGAUUCCAGUCGAACAAGGCCAGCAUGAACGCGGGAAGCGUGUUGGCCACGAACAUCUUGCCCGAGGCGAUCAUGUUCGCGCGCUG
rnacentral:ncRNA from 1 species